AGAGUUUGAUCAUGGCUCAGAAUCAACGCUGGCGGCGCGCUUAACACAUGCAAGUCGCACGAGAAAGUUGUGAAAGAGCAAUCUGGAGCAGCGAGUAAAGUGGCGUACGGGUGAGUAACACGUGGAUCAUCUACCUUUUAGUGGGGAAUACCUCCUGGAAACGGGAGACAAUACCGCAUAAGCUCGUAAGAGGAAAGCAGCAAUGCGCUGAAAGAGGAGUCCGCGGCCGAUUAGCUAGUUGGCGGGGUAACGGCCCACCAAGGCGAAGAUCGGUAGCCGGCCUGAGAGGGCUCACGGCCACACUGGCACUGAAACACGGGCCAGACUCCUACGGGAGGCAGCAGUGGGGAAUCUUGCACAAUGGAGGAAACUCUGAUGCAGCGACGCCGCGUGAGCGAUGAAGCCCUUCGGGGUGUAAAGCUCUUUCGACGGGAACGAUAAUGACGGUACCCGAAGAAGAAGCUGCGGCUAACUACGUGCCAGCAGCCGCGGUAAUACGUAGGCAGCGAGCGUUGUUCGGAAUUACUGGGCGUAAAGAGUGUGUAGGCGGUGCUCUAAGUCUGUCGUGAAAUCUCCCGGCUUAACUGGGAGGGUGCGGCGGAAACUAGAGUGCUAGAGGGUGGGAGAGGAAAGCGGAAUUCCUGGUGUAGCGGUGAAAUGCGUAGAUAUCGGAGGAACACCUGCGGUGUAGACAGCUUUCUGGACCACUUCUGACGCUGAGACACGAAAGCGUGGGUAGCAAACAGGAUUAGAUACCCUAGUAGUCC
rnacentral:rRNA from 1 species